GACGAACGCUUGCGGCGUGCUUAACACAUGCAAGUCGAACGGAAAGGCCCUGCUUUUGUGGGGUGCUCGAGUGGCGAACGGGUGAGUAACACGUGAGUAACCUGCCCUUGACUUUGGGAUAACUUCAGGAAACUGGGGCUAAUACCGGAUAGGAGCUCCUGCUGCAUGGUGGGGGUUGGAAAGUUUCGGCGGUUGGGGAUGGACUCGCGGCUUAUCAGCUUGUUGGUGGGGUAGUGGCUUACCAAGGCUUUGACGGGUAGCCGGCCUGAGGGGGUGACCGGCCACAUUGGGACUGAGAUACGGCCCAGACUCCUACGGGAGGCAGCAGUGGGGAAUAUUGCACAAUGGGCGGAAGCCUGAUGCAGCAACGCCGCGUGCGGGAUGACGGCCUUCGGGUUGUAAACCGCUUUCGCCUGUGACGAAGCGUGAGUGACGGUAAUGGGUAAAGAAGCACCGGCUAACUACGUGCCAGCAGCCGCGGUGAUACGUAGGGUGCGAGCGUUGUCCGGAUUUAUUGGGCGUAAAGGGCUCGUAGGUGGUUGAUCGCGUCGGAAGUGUAAUCUUGGGGCUUAACCCUGAGCGUGCUUUCGAUACGGGUUGACUUGAGGAAGGUAGGGGAGAAUGGAAUUCCUGGUGGAGCGGUGGAAUGCGCAGAUAUCAGGAGGAACACCAGUGGCGAAGGCGGUUCUCUGGGCCUUUCCUGACGCUGAGGAGCGAAAGCGUGGGGAGCGAACAGGCUUAGAUACCCUGGUAGUCCACGCUGUAAACGGUGGGUACUAGGUGUGGGGUCCAUUCCACGGGUUCCGUGCCGUAGCUAACGCUUUAAGUACCCCGCCUGGGGAGUACGGCCGCAAGGCUAAAACUCAAAGGAAUUGACGGGGCCCCGCACAAGCGGCGGAGCAUGCGGAUUAAUUCGAUGCAACGCGUAGAACCUUACCUGGGUUUGACAUGGAUCGGGAGUGCUCAGAGAUGGGUGUGCCUCUUUUGGGGUCGGUUCACAGGUGGUGCAUGGCUGUCGUCAGCUCGUGUCGUGAGAUGUUGGGUUAAGUCCCGCAACGAGCGCAACCCUUGUUCACUGUUGCCAGCACGUUAUGGUGGGGACUCAGUGGAGACCGCCGGGGUCAACUCGGAGGAAGGUGGGGAUGACGUCAAGUCAUCAUGCCCCUUAUGUCCAGGGCUUCACGCAUGCUACAAUGGCUGGUACAGAGAGUGGCGAGCCUGUGAGGGUGAGCGAAUCUCGGAAAGCCGGUCUCAGUUCGGAUUGGGGUCUGCAACUCGACCUCAUGAAGUCGGAGUCGCUAGUAAUCGCAGAUCAGCAACGCUGCGGUGAAUACGUUCCCGGG
rnacentral:rRNA from 1 species